rnacentral:rRNA from 2 species
CUUAAUGUGAUCCUGGCUCAGGACGAACGCUGGCGGCGUGCCUAAUACAUGCAAGUUGAGCGAUGAAGAUUGGUGCUUGCACCAAUUUGAAGAGCAGCGAACGGGUGAGUAACGCGUGGGGAAUCUGCCUUUGAGCGGGGGACAACAUUUGGAAACGAAUGCUAAUACCGCAUAACAACUUUAAACACAAGUUUUAAGUUUGAAAGAUGCAAUUGCAUCACUCAAAGAUGAUCCCGCGUUGUAUUAGCUAGUUGGUGAGGUAAAGGCUCACCAAGGCGAUGAUACAUAGCCGACCUGAGAGGGUGAUCGGCCACAUUGGGACUGAGACACGGCCCAAACUCCUACGGGAGGCAGCAGUAGGGAAUCUUCGGCAAUGGACGAAAGUCUGACCGAGCAACGCCGCGUGAGUGAAGAAGGUUUUCGGAUCGUAAAACUCUGUUGGUAGAGAGAGAACGUUGGUGAGAGUGAAAGCAUCAUCAAGUGAUCGUACUACCAGAAGC